GCGAGUGUCGUAUAAUGGUAAUACCUCAGCUUUCCAAGCUGAUGCUAGGGGUUCGAUUCCCCUCACUCGCU
rnacentral:tRNA from 1 species